GACGAACCGUGCGAACGUUGUUCGGAAUCACUGGGCUUAAAGGGCGCGUAGGCGGCUUGCCAAGUCAGUGGUGAAAUCCUGCAGCUUAACUGCAGAAGUGCCUUUUGAUACUGGCGAGCUCGAGGGAGGUAGGGGUAUGUGGAACUUCUGGUGUAGCGGUGGAAUGCGCAGAUAUCAGGAGGAACACCGGUGGCGAAGGCGGGUCUCUGGGCCGAUACUGACGCUGGAGGAGCGAAAGCGUGGGGAGCGAACAGG
rnacentral:rRNA from 1 species